rnacentral:misc_RNA from 1 species
AAAAAAAAAAAAGAGAAUAGGUUGAUAUACUUCCAAGCAUCUAUAUUGCAAACACAAGCGAAAUAAAAAGAAAAUACGGAAAAUGUAAAAGCUUUCGACCUCUAAAUGCUUAAAUGAUAUUUUAUAAUCAUUGGGAACAAAUUCCUCAACCUUGAGUAAAUUACCCAAGAUUUUAAGCAUAAAGAGCUAGUGUCUUUUCACUUCAAACACAUUAAGCUGGAAAGCAGGUGUAACCAACUUUGGAUUCACACAUGAUGCAGCAGGAGAUAUGAAAUUCAAUUGUACUCGCCGUAAAUGUUAUUAACCCUACACAUAUACAUAUAACAAUAUCCCUUGAGGGAAUUCAUUGCAACAAUUUUGACAUUGGAAAUUCGGAUGGAAAAUGAAACUAAUAACACUGGGCGAGCCGUUGACAUCCCAAAUGAUUAACUUCAAAGAAAUAUAUAACCUUGCUCGUUCCCAGUACUUAAAAAAAUAGAGAUGAUGGACCGGCUCUUUCCAAGAACGCACUGAUUAGAAAUCAAUCAAACAAAAGUAAUUAGAUCACUGAAAGAAGAAAAAUAUGUAUAUAUUAAAUGAAAAGUUUGACCUUU